GAGAUAUCCAAUUUCACAUAUUACAGCACAGUGCUUACAUCUGUCAAGAUUAGAGCACAGUGCCUAUAAUCUAUUAACCUAUUAAAGGAGGAAGGAAAAAAAAAUAGUUUACAGUUUCUGUUUCUUUAAAUUUUUAAUGAACUCUUCCACAAUAGAUAAAUGUAAUUGGAACUGUUUUAGGUGUAAGUUACUGUGAUUGCCAAAUAGUCUUGAGAUACUCCAUUUGGUUUGGUCCUCACUGUAUAAUUAGAACUUGCAUGUUUGUGCUAUACAUGAUUUACAUUGCAUAGAUUUACAAGUCAAUUUGAUUAUUGAGAAAUUGGAUUUAGGUUAAUUAAAUGAUUUACUUAUAAAGUUAACCACAUGAUUGGAGGUGUCUUCUCUAUACCUAUCAUUUAUCAUUUGUCAAAUGUCUUUAGUUUUUACUUUCAUGUACUUAAUUUUUUUGGCUUUUUCUAAUCAUUUAUG
rnacentral:lncRNA from 1 species